rnacentral:lncRNA from 1 species
AUUCCUCCUCCUUGGUCGCCGCGUCCUUGGCUGGCGUAAAAAUGGCUACAAACUUCCUAGCACAUGAGAAGAUCUGGUUCGACAAGUUCAAAUAUGACGACGCAGAAAGGAGAUUCUACGAGCAGAUGAACGGGCCUGUGGCAGGUGCCUCCCGCCAGGAGAACGGCGCCAGCGUGAUCCUCCGUGACAUUGCGAGAGCCAGAGAGAACAUCCAGAAAUCCCUGGCUGGAUGCUGCCUGGUCCCCUGAGGCGUGUCCCAGGUUGUCCCUAGGACUGUGAGUCCUUCAGCACCUCCCACCCAGCCUCUGAGCCUGGCUGCUCAGCAGGAUUCCGCCGGGCAGCAGCAGCCAUGGCCCAGCUCCCCACAGCCUCCGUCUCUGGGGCACCAAGAGCCUCCUGUCCUGGACUUUGCCUGGCUGAGAAUUUCACUGUGGUCUGUGGUGGCCGCCACCUCUGAGGUCAUAAGUUUGAGCUGGGCAUCAGCGGGGGGCACCUCCUGCUCUCCCGAGCUGUAGUUUUCCUUCCGUGAGUUCCUGCAGUCCUGAGCAUGGCAGGGGGACCCUAGGAGCAGGCUGGGCACUGAGCCCUCCCCUCCUCCUGCCUUGCAGAGCUCAGGCCCCGGGGCCUCCAGCGGCACCAGCGGAGACCACGUGGUACAGGAGCUGCAGCAGGCCAUCUCCAAGCUGGAGGCCCGGCUGAACGUGCUGGAGAAGAGCUCGCCUGGCCACCGGGCCACGGCCCCACAGACCCAGCACGUAUCUCCCAUGCGCCAAGUGGAGCCCCCAGCCAAGAAGCCAGCCACACCAGCAGAGGAUGA